rnacentral:rRNA from 1 species
UACGUAGGGUCCGAGCGUUGUCCGGAAUUAUUGGGCGUAAAGGGCUCGUAGGCGGUUUGUCGCGUCGGGAGUGAAAACGCCGGGCUUAACCCGGUGCUUGCUUUCGAUACGGGCAGACUGGAGGUAUGCAGGGGAGAACGGAAUUCCUGGUGUAGCGGUGGAAUGCGCAGAUAUCAGGAGGAACACCGGUGGCGAAGGCGGGUCUCUGGGCAGUAACUGACGCUGAGGAGCGAAAGCGUGGGGAGCGAACAGG